UACGUAGGGUGCGAGCGUUAAUCGGAAUUACUGGGCGUAAAGCGUGUGCAGGCGGUUUGUUAAGACAGGUGUGAAAUCCCCGGGCUUAACCUGGGAAUUGCGCUUGUUACUGGCAAGCUAGAGUGCGUCAGAGGGAGGUGGAAUUCCACGUGUAGCAGUGAAAUGCGUAGAUAUCAGGAGGAAUACCGAUGGCGAAGGCAGGUCUCUGGGCUGACACUGACGCUCAUGCACGAAAGCGUGGGGAGCAAACAGG
rnacentral:rRNA from 1 species